rnacentral:rRNA from 1 species
GAUGAACGCUGGCGGCGUGCCUAAUACAUGCAAGUCGAGCGAACGGACGAGAAGCUUGCUUCUCUGAUGUUAGCGGCGGACGGGUGAGUAACACGUGGAUAACCUACCUAUAAGACUGGGAUAACUUCGGGAAACCGGAGCUAAUACCGGAUAAUAUUUUGAACCGCAUGGUUCAAAAGUGAAAGACGGUCUUGCUGUCACUUAUAGAUGGAUCCGCGCUGCAUUAGCUAGUUGGUAAGGUAACGGCUUACCAAGGCAACGAUGCAUAGCCGACCUGAGAGGGUGAUCGGCCACCCUGGAACUGAGACACGGUCCAGACUCCUACGGGAGGCAGCAGUAGGGAAUCUUCCGCAAUGGGCGAAAGCCUGACGGAGCAACGCCGCGUGAGUGAUGAAGGUCUUCGGAUCGUAAAACUCUGUUAUUAGGGAAGAACAUAUGUGUAAGUAACUGUGCACAUCUUGACGGUACCUAAUCAGAAAGCCACGGCUAACUACGCG